UACGAAGGGGGCUAGCGUUGUUCGGAUUUAGCUGGGCGUAAAGGGCGCGUAGGCGGGCGAUUAAGUCAGGGUGAAAUCCACAGCUCAACUGUGGAACUGCCUUUGAUACUGAUUGUCUUGAGUCCGGGAGAGGUGAGUGGAACUGCGAGUGUAGAGGUGAAAUUCGUAGAUAUUGCAAGAACACCAGUGGCGAAGGCGGACUCACUGGCCCGGAACUGACGCUGAGGCGGCGAAAGCGUGGGGAGCCAAACAGG
rnacentral:rRNA from 1 species